rnacentral:lncRNA from 12 species
GCCAUGCCCUGAGAAAGAUUAAAGAAAGGCUCUGGUACGAAUAAAUAAAUAAAAUUUAAAAUCCCCAGCAGAAAUAAUGUGUUCCAACUGCAGGGAGUCCUAGAAAUAGACUACAGUAAUCUUGGGUAAUCUUUUCCUGUUCUGUUCCCCCUGAAGCACAUUCCUGGUGUCUGCACACCAGCUGGGCUGGCCAGCAUCUGGGUGACAGGCCUCCUCCCCGCAGGAAGAAUAGUGGCCCAGGUGCCAGCUCUAGGAUCCAGGAAUGAGGGUGUCCACCCUUGCUGGGGCCCACUCACAGAGAACAUGCCUACAGAGUGUCCACCCCAGCCAGGACCUGGGCCUCACAAAGCCUUGGACCCUACCCUGUACCUGCCCUGGUGGAGCUCCUGAUUCCUGGAGAACAUGAACAGCUCAGAUGCCAUCUCCUCCAGGAAGGCUCUCCUACUGUGCCAGCAGACAAGAACACACAUAAUAUGAGCACCAGAAGAAUAACCCUCUGCCCGCAGCGGCCUCUACCUUUUUGCCUGGCUCAGAAUCAAACAUGCGGAGCAUUUUUCUCCCCCACCCCGCAGUACACAAAAGUGCCCACUAGGUGGUGAUAAAGUGACGAUGUCCCAGCGGGGAUGAGCGAGAAGGGAGGCCCCUGCCGCCGCCUGCAUCAUUUAUUCAUUCCCUCCCCAAAUAUUUUCUGAAAUCCUGGCAUGAGCGAGACUGCAGGACCACAGUGGCAAACAAAGCAACAAAGGUCCUGCUCUCAAGAAGCUUAUGCUCUAACGACAGGAGGUAAGAGGAAAGACACAGAAAAGAAGGAAAGAAAGCAAGA